AUGCCGUCGGUUUCGAGGGCCGUGUGCUUGCAGAGGCCGACCACGAGCGGCGGCGGGAGGAGCAGGGAGGCGGCCCGAUCGGUGGCGUCGCCGAGAGCCCGUCACGCGAAAUCGAAGACGAUGAUCCACCCGGCGCGGGGCCGGCAUUGCUCGCCUCCCAACGCAGUCGCGGCGCCUAUGCCCGCCACAAAGAAGAGGGUGUUCCACUUCGGCAAGGGCAAGAGCGAGGGCAACAAGGCCAUGAAGGACCUGCUGGGCGGGAAGGGCGCCAACUUGGCGGAGAUGGCGAGCAUCGGGCUGUCGGUGCCGCCGGGGUUCACGGUGUCGACGGAGGCGUGCGAGCAGUACCAGGCGGCGGGGAAGGCGCUGCCGCCGGGGCUGUGGGAGGAGACCCUGGAGGGCCUGAAGUGGGUGGAGGAGUACAUGGGCGCGCGCCUCGGCGACCCCGCGCGGCCGCUGCUCCUCUCCGUCCGCUCCGGCGCCGCGGUGUCCAUGCCCGGCAUGAUGGACACGGUGCUCAACCUGGGGCUCAACGACGAGGUGGCCGCCGGGCUGGCGGCCAAGAGCGGCGACCGCUUCGCCUACGACUCGUACCGCCGCUUCCUCGACAUGUUCGGCAACGUCGUCAUGGACAUUCCCCAUGCGCUUUUCGAAGAGAAGCUCGAAGCCAUGAAAGCAGCCAAGGGGGUGGACAACGACACCGACCUCACUGCCAAUGACCUCAGGGAGCUAGUGGGUCAGUACAAGAACGUCUACGUUGAAGCCAAAGGGGAACAAUUUCCCUCAGAUCCCAAGAGGCAACUGCAGUUAGCGGUGUUGGCCGUGUUCGACUCGUGGGACAGUCCGAGAGCGAACAAGUACAGAAGCAUUAAUCAGAUCACCGGACUUAGGGGCACCGCCGUGAACGUGCAGUGCAUGGUGUUUGGCAACAUGGGGAACACCUCCGGAACAGGUGUCCUCUUCACUAGGAACCCUAGCACUGGAGAGAAGAAGCUUUAUGGCGAGUUCCUAGUCAAUGCUCAGGGUGAGGAUGUGGUUGCUGGAAUCAGAACCCCGGAGGAUCUUGAUGCCAUGAGGGAUCACAUGCCGGAGGCCUAUACAGAGCUUGUUGAAAACUGUGAAAUACUGGAGAGCCACUAUAAGGAAAUGAUGGAUAUUGAAUUUACAGUUCAAGAAAAUAGGCUCUGGAUGCUACAAUGCAGAUCCGGAAAGCGUACUGGCACAGGAGCUGUGAAGAUUGCUGUAGACAUGGUUAAUGAGGCUCUUGUUGAUCGCAAUACAGCGAUUAAGAUGGUAGAACCAGGUCACUUGGACCAGCUUCUUCAUCCACAGUUUGCGAACCCUGAGGCUGCUUCAUACAAAGGCAAAGUUAUUACUACAGGCUUACCAGCAUCACCUGGGGCUGCUGUGGGACAAAUUGUAUUUACUGCCGAGGAUGCUGAAGCAUGGCAUGCCCAAGGGAAAUCUGCAAUUCUGGUGAGGACAGAGACCAGCCCAGAAGAUGUUGGUGGCAUGCAUGCAGCCGCUGGAAUUCUUACAGCAAGAGGUGGUAUGACUUCUCAUGCUGCCGUUGUAGCACGUGGUUGGGGAAAAUGCUGUGUGUCAGGGUGCUCAAGCAUGCGUGUAAAUGAAAUUGAAAAGGUGGUAGCUAUUGAAGACAAGAUGCUCUAUGAAGGUGACUGGAUAUCACUCAAUGGAUCAACUGGUGAAGUGAUCCUUGGCAAACAGCCACUUUCCCCACCAGCCCUUAGUGCUGACUUGGAAACUUUCAUGUCCUGGGUUGAUGAAGUUAGGCAGCUCAAGGUUAUGGCUAAUGCAGACACCCCCGGGGAUGCAUUGGCAGCAAGGAAAAAUGGGGCAGAAGGAAUUGGACUCUGUCGGACAGAACACAUGUUCUUUGCUUCUGAUGAGAGAAUUAAGGCUGUGAGGCAGAUGAUAAUGGCUCCAACUGUCGAACUGAGGCAGAAAGCACUAGAUCGUCUUCUGCCUUACCAGAGGUCCGACUUUGAAGGCAUUUUCCGUGCCAUGGAUGGGCUCCCGGUGACUAUUCGGCUGUUGGACCCUCCACUUCAUGAGUUCCUUCCAGAAGGGCAUGUGGAGGAUAUUGUGCGUGAGCUAUGUGCUGAAACUGGAGCCGCUGAGGAUGAUGUCCUUGCAAGAAUGGAGAAACUUUCAGAAGUAAAUCCAAUGCUUGGUUUCCGUGGUUGCAGGCUUGGUAUAUCCUAUCCUGAAUUAACAGAAAUGCAAGCCCGGGCCAUCUUUGAAGCUGCUAUAUCCAUGACCAACCAGGGUAUUCAAGUAUUUCCAGAGAUAAUGGUUCCUCUUGUUGGAACACCUCAGGAAUUGGGACAUCAGGUGGCUCUUAUCCGCCAAAUUGCUAACAAUGUUUUCACCAAUAUGGGGAAAACCAUUGAUUACAAAGUUGGGACUAUGAUUGAAAUUCCCAGGGCUGCUCUAGUGGCAGAUGAGAUAGCAGAGCAGGCUGAGUUCUUCUCUUUCGGAACAAACGACCUCACGCAGAUGACAUUUGGUUACAGUAGGGAUGAUGUGGGGAAGUUCCUCCCCAUCUAUCUGGCUCAGGGUAUCCUCCAGCAUGACCCAUUUGAGGUGCUUGAUCAGAGAGGAGUGGGGGAGCUAGUAAAGAUUGCUACAGAGAGGGGUCGCAAAGCGAGGCCUAACUUGAAGGUGGGCAUCUGCGGUGAACAUGGUGGAGAGCCAUCUUCAGUUGCUUUUUUCGCAAAGGCUGGGCUGGAUUAUGUUUCAUGCUCCCCGUUCAGGGUCCCGAUUGCUAGGCUAGCUGCAGCCCAGGUCCUUGUCUGA
rnacentral:rRNA from 1 species